rnacentral:misc_RNA from 1 species
GAUGAAGAACGUAGCGAAAUGCGAUAAGUAGUGUGAAUUGCAGAAUUCAGUGAAUCAUCGAAUCUUUGAACGCACAUUGCGCCCCCUGGCAUUCCGGGGGGCAUGCCUGUUCGAGCGUCAUUUACACCCUCAAGCUCUGCUUGGUGUUGGGCGUCUGUCCCGCUGCUUUGCGCGGACUCGCCUCAAAGGUAUUGGCAGCGAUCAUGCCAGCUUCUCGCGCAGCACAUUGCGCUUCUUGAAGUUCUGGUGGAUCAGCGUCCAUUAAGCUUACCUUCAUGACUUGACCUCGGAUCAGGUAGGGAUACCCGCUGAACUUAAGCAUAUCAAUAAGCGGAGGA